rnacentral:rRNA from 1 species
AUACGGAGGAUGCGAGCGUUAUCCGGAUUCAUUGGGUUUAAAGGGUGCGCAGGCGGCUCGUCAAGUCAGCGGUGAAAGCCCGGGGCCCAACCCCGGAAGUGCCGUUGAUACUGUCGGGCUGGAAUGCGGUCGAGGCGGGCGGAACGGGGCGUGUAGCGGUGAAAAGCGUAGAUAUGCCACAGAACCCCGAUAGCGAAGGCAGCUCGCCAGGCCUGCAUUGACGCGCGGGCACGAAAGCGUGGGGAUCGAACAGGAUUAGAUACCCUGGUAGUCCACGCCGUAAACGAUGGGCGCUCGUCGUCGGCGGCAGAAUGUCGGCGGCCAAGCGAAAGCGAUAAGCGCCCCACCUGGGGAGUACGGUCGCAAGGCUGAAACUCAAAUGAAUUGACGGGG